rnacentral:rRNA from 1 species
AGCGGCGGACGGGUGAGUAACGCGUGGGUAACCUGCCCUGUACACACGGAUAACAUACCGAAAGGUAUGCUAAUACGAGAUAAUAUGCUUUUGUCGCAUGGUAGAAGUAUCAAAGCUUUUGCGGUACAGGAUGGACCCGCGUCUGAUUAGCUAGUUGGUAAGGUAACGGCUUACCAAGGCGACGAUCAGUAGCCGACCUGAGAGGGUGAUCGGCCACAUUGGAACUGAGACACGGUCCAAACUCCUACGGGAGGCAGCAGUGGGGAAUAUUGCACAAUGGGCGAAAGCCUGAUGCAGCAACGCCGCGUGAGCGAUGAAGGCCUUCGGGUCGUAAAGCUCUGUCCUCAAGGGAGAUAAUGACGGUACUUGAGGAGGAAGCCCCGGCUAACUACGUGCCAGCAGCCGCGGUAAUACGUAGGGGGCUGGCGUUAUCCGGAAUUACUGGGCGUAAGGGGUGCGUAGGUGGUUUCUUAAGUCAGAGGUGAAAGGCUACGGCUCAACCGUAGUAAGCCUUUGAAACUGGGAAACUUGAGUGCAGGAGAGGAGAGUGGAAUUCCUAGUGUAGCGGUGAAAUGCGUAGAUAUUAGGAAGAACACCAGUUGCGAAGGCGGCUCUCUGGACUGUAACUGACACUGAGGCACGAAAGCGUGGGGAGCAAACAGGAUUAGAUACCCUGGUAGUCCACGCCGUAAACGAUGAGUACUAGCUGU